UACGUAGGGUGCGAGCGUUGUCCGGAAUUAUUGGGCGUAAAGGGCUCGUAGGCGGUUUGUCGCGUCGGGAGUGAAAACCAGGUGCUUAACACCUGGCUUGCUUUCGAUACGGGCAGACUAGAGGUAUGCAGGGGAGAACGGAAUUCCUGGUGUAGCGGUGAAAUGCGCAGAUAUCAGGAGGAACACCGGUGGCGAAGGCGGGUCUCUGGGCAGUAACUGACGCUGAGAAGCGAAAGCGUGGGUAGCGAACAGG
rnacentral:rRNA from 1 species